ACUCUUUCAUUUUGGCUCGUCCUUAACUGGGAUGGCGUCGAGCUGGGGUUACCUGAGCUCAUGUCCUUGUCCCCUGACACGCGGGAAAAGGAGACCGACACCAAAAGAGAAUAUGCUGAGUCGUUGCUUUAGUUCUUGAAUCCAGUGGUGCCUGAGGCCACGUCUGUAGCUGCCGUUUGUUACCUGAACCAGUUUGGGUGAUGCAGGAACACCUUAGAGUCAUCCCAGCAAUGUUCCCAAUCACUGAUUUGCUGGAUUGCUUCUGUGAACAGCGGCAGGAGACAGCUUGUCCGUUCCUGGUGGAGACAGCAAAACCUGUGGUCGCUCGCGAAGGUUCCACCAACCCACCACGUGGUGUGAAGUCUUCAGCGUGGGUUCAGGGCUGGAGACUGGCACGGCCAGGACCAUGGUGAGACAAGAGAGUCAAGACUGAAGGAGAUGUCACCCUCAGGGCCACGCAAGUGCAGGGUCAGCGUGAAAAAGGAGCCCUUCCUUACAUUUUGGACAACAGGUGCCUUUCUGCCCCACCUGGUCUCACCCCUUUAUACCAUCCUUUUCCACGAGAACAACACAAAACUGAGAAUGUCAGGGUUGGAGGAGGCAGGACUUCCUUGGGUCCAGUGCUUAAGACUCCAGGCUUCCACUGCAGGGGGCGCGGGUUGGAUCCCUGGUGGGGGAACUAAGAUCCCGCAUGCCGCGCUUCACGGCCACAAAAAAAGAAAAAAAUGUUGGAGGAGGCCUUUAAUGUCCUAGGACUCCCCUGCUUCUCCACAUGUGGUCCAUGGAGACGCAGCAGGGUCUUCAAUGUAGAUUCCUGGGCCCAAGCCCAGACCAACAGAUUCAGAAUCUUCGGGAGGUGGGGCGGGAACCUGCAUUUUAAUAAGGAGCCUCAGGCACUUCUGAUAAACUAACAGUGGAGAGCUUCUCCUUGAUGCUCACCUGUCACAGCAUACCUUACCCAGCCUCCCGAAGUCGCCUGUUUUAGAUCUAAAAAAAACGGCGGUUAGUCUAUCACACUGGGCACCAUUCUGUCUCCCUGUAACUUCACUCUGUCUCAGAUCCAGAGUCUGGAAUGACACUGUAUAGGUUUCAUCUCUUUUCUACAUCUCAAUCCUCGAGCACUAAGGUGUCUCUCGGGUCCUCAGCCCUCUUCAAGGACCUUAAGCCUCUUUAAGUUAAACAGUUGGUGUUCAGUCGACUCUUCCUCACAAUCCACCAGCACGUAGAGAGAGCAAGAAAGGAGAAGAGGCUGCCAGAUACGCCUGCACUACCAACUAAAGUUAAGGCCCUGAGAUGGAAUGUUUCCAGCACUAAUUCACAACUCCACUAAAUUGUAACUUCGGCCCUGAAUUUUAACAGCCCACCUUUCAAACGCUUCCCGGGGUUGCGCUGCUGCCCCCUUCCGGCCCUGGGUAGUACUGCAGGCUGUCGAAGCUGGCGAUGGGGAUGCGCUUUCCCCACACGUGGGAGUGGGAACGCGAGAUAAUCCGUCCGUCCCAGGGAAAGCCAGGAGUUGCUGUCCUGCAGCAGGCGAGAAAUCCGAGACGAGAAACAGAGAAAGGAAGCGUGCGGCGGGGAGGGGGGGACCCGCCAGCGAAGAGAAGACCUGGAAGAUGUAGACCUGGACCACCCCGAACCCACAGUGGCCCAGUUCUGCCCGGUUCUGGAUCUGGCUCUUUCGUCAGCUCAAAAGGCCUGUCGGUACACAUGUGGACAUCAUUUACAUUGAUGAGGUCGUACUGGACACACCCCUCUGCCCCCUCUGCUUGUGAACUUCGUCAGCAAGCGAGAACAAUGCCGGGGAUGUGGAGAAGGCGUGUCAUUGGUGCAUUUCUAAGAUUGCCAGCAGUGGUGAGUCACAGCUCUGAGAAAUGUCCUAGUUUUGAAGGAUUUGGGCUUCUGAAAUCACAUGACUUGUUAGAGCCCAGAGUGAACCCUGUGGGUGGUCUGUGCUUGGCUCAGGGUGGCCCCAGGGUAGACCUGGGAGGGGAUAGUGUCCUGACCUCUGUUGAUGCCCCUACUUCUACUCCUUAUUUAAGAACGUUUAGCUUUUCGUAGUGCACAGGAUGUAUUUUCAACAUAAUCUGUGUUUGGAAAAUGUUUGAGUGAAUGGAGUCACUGAUACAACCAACAUGUAAUGGCAGCGGAGCUAGGGGACGUGCAGGGAGAUGUGAGUGGAUUUGGAUUGGGGUGGUUUCCCGCACCCCCAUCCUACCCUGUCUCCUUGCCAAAUUGGACUUUCCCCACCAUCUCCUGGUGGGGCCCUUCUGUCCAGAGGGGUUGGGCCACAUUACAGAAGGCCCAGGCUAUAUCAUAACAUUUGGAAUAUCCUUAAAACAAAUCCCAGCCCUUGGGGCUCCUUGGGGUGAAAGCAUUUACCUCCUACUGAGACGUGUGGUCUGUCUUUUAUACAGAUGAUGUGUGAAUGAAGGGAAUCUCGUGGGACGUCUUUUUUUUUUAACCUUAAUUUCUUUCUUUUUUUAACCUUAAUUUCUUUUUUUUUAAC